UAGGGAAUCUUCCGCAAUGGGCGAAAGCCUGACGGAGCAACGCCGCGUGAGUGAAGAAGGAUUUCGGUUCGUAAAGCUCUGUUGUUAGGGAAGAAUGAUUGUGUAGUAACUAUACGCAGUAGAGACGGUACCUAACCAGAAAGCCACGGCUAACUACGUGCCAGCAGCCGCGGUAAUACGUAGGUGGCAAGCGUUGUCCGGAAUUAUUGGGCGUAAAGCGCGCGCAGGUGGUUUAAUAAGUCUGAUGUGAAAGCCCACGGCUCAACCGUGGAGGGUCAUUGGAAACUGUUAAACUUGAGUGCAGGAGAGAAAAGUGGAAUUCCUAGUGUAGCGGUGAAAUGCGUAGAGAUUAGGAGGAACACCAGUGGCGAAGGCGGCUUUUUGGCCUGUAACUGACACUGAGGCGCGAAAGCGUGGGGAGCAAACAGGAUUAGAUACCCUGGUAGUCCACGCCGUAAACGAUGAGUGCUAAGUGUUGGUCUCAUAAGAGAUCAGUGCUGCAGCUAACGCAUUAAGCACUCCGCCUGGGGAGUACGACCGCAAGGUUG
rnacentral:rRNA from 1 species